rnacentral:rRNA from 1 species
UACGUAGGGUGCGAGCGUUAAUCGGAAUUACUGGGCGUAAAGCGUGCGCAGGCGGUGAUGUAAGACAGAUGUGAAAUCCCCGGGCUCAACCUGGGAACUGCAUUUGUGACUGCAUCGCUGGAGUGCGGCAGAGGGGGAUGGAAUUCCGCGUGUAGCAGUGAAAUGCGUAGAUAUGCGGAGGAACACCGAUAGCGAAGGCAAUCCCCUGGGCCUGCACUGACGCUCAUGCACGAAAGCGUGGGGAGCAAACAGG